rnacentral:rRNA from 1 species
UACGUAGGGGGCAAGCGUUGUCCGGAUUUAUUGGGCGUAAAGAGCGUGUAGGCGGCUAGGUAGGUCCGUUGUGAAAACUCGAGGCUCAACCUCGAGACGUCGAUGGAAACCAUCUAGCUAGAGUCCGGAAGAGGAGAGUGGAAUUCCUGGUGUAGCGGUGAAAUGCGUAGAUAUCCGGAGGAACACCGAAGGCGUAGGCAGUGUCCUGGGGAGUACCUGACGCUCAGGUGCGAAAGCCAGGGGAGCGAACGGG